ensembl:lncRNA
GUGUUUUAAUUGAAUUGGUUAAUGAACACAUAGGAACUAAAUUCCUCUAACAAAGGUUCUCCCAUCUCCACAGGGAAACUCUGGAGCUCUGUCAGAGUGACCAUUGGGUUCUUGGUCACCUCCCUGACCAAGGCCCUUCUCCCUUGAUUGCUCAGUUUGGCUGUGAGGCUAGCUCUAGGAAGAGUCUUGGUGGUUCCAAACGUGACCUUGUUUUUGCACAGUCAACUGUGGGACCUUAUAUAGACAGGAGAAAGACCUGCAGAGGGAAGCCACCCAACCCUGAAGGACAGAGGGAGAGACAGGAGAAAGACCUGCAGAGGGAAGCCCCCCAACCCUGAAGGACAGAGGGAGAGACAGGAGAAAGACCUGCAGAGGGAAGCCCCCCAACCCUGAAGGACAGAGGGAGAGACAGGAGAAAGCCCUGCAGAGGGAAGCCCCCCAACCCUGAAGGACAGAGGGAGAGACAGGAGAAAGACCUGCAGAGGGAAGCCCCCCCGACCCUGAAGGACAGAGGGAGAGACAGGAGAAAGACCUGCAGAGGGAAGCCCCCCAACCCUGAAGGACAGAGGGAGAGACAGGAGAAAGACCUGCAGAGGGAAGCCCCCCAACCCUGAAGGACAGAGGGAGAGACAGGAGAAUGCCCUGCAGAGGGAAGACCCCCAACCCUGAAGGACAGAGGGAGAGACAGGAGAAAGACCUGCAGAGGGAAGCCCCCCAACCCUAAAGGACAGAGGGAGAGACAGGAGAAAGCCCUGCAGAGGGAAGCCCCCCGACCCUGAAGGACAGAGGGAGAAACAGGAGAAAGCCCUGCAGAGGGAAGCCCCCCAACCCUGAAGGACAGAGGGAGACACAGGAGAAAGACCUGCAGAAGAGUAUGCAGUGUUUGGACCCUGCAAGAGCGAGGACAGGACCAACCCAACUGGUCCCCCUACAGCUCAUCUCUGCCAUGAAGCCCCAGACUGGGACCCAGCUGGCCCCCCUACAGCUCAUCUCUGCCCUGAAGCUCCAGACUGGGACCCAGCUGGUCCCCCUACAGCUCAUCUCUGCCCUGAAGCUCCAGACUGCGACCCAGCUGGUCCCCCUACAGCUCAUCUCUGCCCUGAAGCUCCAGACUGGGACCCAGCUGGUCCCCCUACAGCUCAUCUCUGCCCUGAAGCUCCAGACUGGGACCCAGCUGGUCCCCCUACAGCUCAUCCCUGUCCUGAAGCCCCAGACUGGGACCCAGCUAGUCCCCCUACAGCUCAUCUCUGUCCUGAAGCCCCAGACAUUCACAGAGGAGAUGAGACGGGCAGCCCUGAACACCUUCAUCGGGAAGAAGGCUACUCAACUGGACAUUAACACACUGGAGGAUAAACUACACACCUCUACAACAGGAAGCAGAAGCCCUAUGGGAACAGAAUGUCCCUCAUUUAGGUAAAUCAAUCUGUGUUCUGGUGUUGGAGAACGCCGCGGGAUGGACCUCUGGCUUUCUCAUCCAAUGGGCUUUGAGGAGGCAAGGAGAGAGGAUGCCAGGAGUAUGUAAAUGAGAUUCUCCCAGUGUGCAAUUUGGGUGAGCUGCUGAGGAGCCUCCACA